rnacentral:tRNA from 1 species
GUAGAUAUAGUUUAACAAAAACAUUAGAUUGUGAUUCUAAAAACAGAGGUUAAACCCCUCUUAUCCACC